rnacentral:rRNA from 1 species
GAUGAACGCUGGCGGCGUGCCUAAUACAUGCAAGUCGAGCGAAUGGAUUAAGAGCUUGCUCUUAUGAAGUUAGCGGCGGACGGGUGAGUAACACGUGGGUAACCUGCCCAUAAGACUGGGAUAACUCCGGGAAACCGGGGCUAAUACCGGAUAACAUUUUGAACCGCAUGGUUCGAAAUUGAAAGGCGGCUUCGGCUGUCACUUAUGGAUGGACCCGCGUCGCAUUAGCUAGUUGGUGAGGUAACGGCUCACCAAGGCAACGAUGCGUAGCAGCCCUGAGAGGGUGAUCUGCCACACCGGGACUGAGACACGGCCCAGACUCCGACGGGAGGCAGCAGUAGGGAAUCUUCCGCAAUGGACGAAAGUCUGACGGAGCAACGCCGCGUGAGUGAUGAAGGCUUUCGGGUCGUAAAACUCUGUUGUUAGGGAAGAACAAGUGCUAGUUGAAUAAGCUGACACCUUGACGGUACCUAACCAGAAAGCCACGGCUAACUACGUGCCAGCCGCCGCUGUAA